rnacentral:rRNA from 1 species
CCUACGGGAGGCUGCAGUAAGGAAUAUUGGUCAAUGGACGCAAGUCUGAACCAGCCAUGCCGCGUGGAGGAUGAAGGUCCUCUGGAUUGUAAACUUCUUUUAUUUGGGAAGAAACUCCCGAUUUCCAUCGGGAUUGACGGUACCAGAUGAAUAAGCACCGGCUAACUCCGUGCCAGCAGCCGCGGUAAUACGGAGGGUGCCAGCGUUAUCGGGAUUCACUGGGGCGAAAGGGUGCAGAGGAGGGAGUGUUGAAAUCUCCGGGCUUAACCCGGAAACUGCCAUUGGUACUAUUUGUCUUGAAUACUCUGGAGGUGAGCGGAAUAUGUCAUGUAGCGGUGAAAUGCUUAGAUAUGACAUAGAACACCCAGUGCGAAGGCAGCUCACUACGGAAAUAUUGACGCUGAGGCACGAAAGCGUGGGGAUCAAACAGGAUUAGAUACCCGGGUAGUC